rnacentral:rRNA from 1 species
GUGGGGAAUUUUGGACAAUGGGCGCAAGCCUGAUCCAGCCAUGCCGCGUGCAGGAUGAAGGCCUUCGGGUUGUAAACUGCUUUUGUACGGAACGAAACGGCCCUUUCUAAUAAAGAGGGCUAAUGACGGUACCGUAAGAAUAAGCACCGGCUAACUACGUGCCAGCAGCCGCGGUAAUACGUAGGGUGCGAGCGUUAAUCGGAAUUACUGGGCGUAAAGCGUGCGCAGGCGGUGAUGUAAGACAGAUGUGAAAUCCACGGGCUCAACCUGGGAACUGCAUUUGUGACUGCAUCGCUGGAGUGCGGCAGAGGGGGAUGGAAUUCCGCGUGUAGCAGUGAAAUGCGUAGAUAUGCGGAGGAACACCGAUGGCGAAGGCAAUCCCCUGGGCCUGCACUGACGCUCAUGCACGAAAGCGUGGGGAGCAAACAGGAUUAGAAACCCCAGUAGUCC